UACGUAGGGUGCGAGCGUUAAUCGGAAUUACUGGGCGUAAAGCGUGCGCAGGCGGUUCGUUAAGUCAGCUGUGAAAGCCCCGGGCUCAACCUGGGAAUUGCGGUUGAAACUGGCGAACUAGAAUCUGGCAGAGGGGGUGGAAUUCCACGUGUAGCAGUGAAAUGCGUAGAGAUGUGGAGGAACACCGAUGGCGAAGGCAAUCCCCUGGACCUGUACUGACGCUCAUGCACGAAAGCGUGGGGAGCAAACAGG
rnacentral:rRNA from 1 species